rnacentral:antisense_RNA from 20 species
GGUAGCCGAAGAUCACAGCCGGGUUGAGGGUUGGGUUGGAGAUGAUGCGGACAUCGCCACCACCCGGCGCCCAGGUGUCAUAGACACCGCCGAAGAACAUGGCCUUAAAGACCAGCAAGAAGGCACCUAAGCCCAGCAGAAUCAGGUGAUAACCAAUGAUGUUGGUCAUCUGAUUCUUGUCUUUCCA